rnacentral:rRNA from 1 species
AGUCAGCACGGUAGCUCGCGGCUGCGAUCACCUCCUUACUCCUGGGGAGCGGAUGACGGUCGUGUUUACAUUCUCGCGCCCCGUGCUGAUGAUCUUAGCUAGUCGUAAGAGUAGCUAAGAAGGCCUUCGGGUUGUAAAGCACUUUUGUCCGGAAAGAAAACCUUCGCCCUAUACCGCACAUUCCUGAGGGUGACAGCGGGGGACCGGUAGCGGCGCGCGAUAGGAGCGGGCCAGAUAGAUGAGCUGUAGGUUGGGGGGUAAGGGAUUAGCGAGCCGCGAGAAUGGCACCUGAGAGUAGGU